rnacentral:misc_RNA from 1 species
CGGCGAAGCGGAAAAAUGGUGAAGGGGCGACAGGGCGAGCGCGUCCGAUUGUACGUUCGUGGAACGAUUCUCGGCUACAAGCGAUCGAAGUCGAAUCAGUACGAGAACACCUCGCUGAUGCAGAUCGAGGGGGUGAACACUAAGGAGGAGGUGGCUUGGUACUGUGGGAAGCGGCUGGCGUAUAUUUACAGGGCGAAGGUGAAGAAGAACGGCUCGCAUUACAGGUGUAUUUGGGGAAAGGUUGCGCGUCCCCAUGGGAAUAGUGGAGUCGUGAGGGCCAAGUUCAAGUCUAAUCUUCCACCCAAAGCGAUGGGAUCAAAGGUUCGGGUCUUCAUGUACCCUAGCAACAUAUGAGAUUUAUGGAAGCCUGAGAGCAGCUGGACUGAAAAUUGCUGGGUGUCUUUAUUUUCGAAAAUGAUGAUAUUUCUAGAAUCAACUCUACUUUUAAAACAGUUUUUUUG